UAGGAAGUGGUGUAAGUGGAAGCACGAAGGGGUUUGAGCCCUUAAGUUAGGGUUCAAGUCCCUUCUUUCUAA
rnacentral:tRNA from 1 species